CGCCUCCUGCUCGGUUGUGGGUUGUGGAUGGCCGCCUGGAUUCCAAGUUUCCACACUUCAUAUCUUGCCUAGAUUGAGCGACACUGGUAACUGAAUUUUUUUUGCUUCAUUUAUUUAAUUUUUAUUUUCACUAUAAUUUUAGAAUUCUCGCUGUUUAUAAUAAAAAAAAAUUGGAUUAUUAUUUUGUCAGAAAAUCUAUUUGUUUGAUUGUUGAUUUUUUUUUUUUGGUGGGGUGGGGGCCGGGGGAAUAUUUAGCGGUAAUGAUGAAACUUAGUUUAAAAGUGUGGGAUGUGGCAAUAUUUAGGACAUCGUUGAGAUUUAUAGAUAUAAAUGGAAUAUUCCACAUUACAAUGUAAAAAACAAUCACAAUAUCUGUAUUAUGUUUUGCGAAUACAUAUCGACAAUAGUUUUUUAUUCUCACAUGUGAUUAAAGGCAAAUGCUCGGAAUUUGUUGGAAUGUUUUAUUCCAGGCCAUAUAUAUUGAUAAUUAUUGUGAAUAAAAGUGAUAGUUGUAGUGUACGUAUAUUGAUUAAUGGUAAUAUAAUUAAUAAUUAAGAUCAAAUUAAAAUUUUAGAUUCAAGUUCAUAAUCACGUGGUCUUUUAAAAUACUUUGUUAUUCUUAUUGAAAAAAAUGUAUAGAAGAAAAUUGAUAAGUUCGUAUUGAGAAAAGUGACAUUUGUUUUUGUUUGCAUUUUUAUAAAUUAAGAUAACAUGAUUUUAGUGAAUGUGAUUAUUAAUGUUAUGAAUCAAAGCAAAUGGAUAUGAUUCAAUUGGAUGGAUUCGGGUCAAAGUCAGAUAAAAAAAAUUCUACUAGCACUAUGCACGCAAACCCAUAAGAGAUAAAAUAAUUACUCCAUCCGUCCAUGACAAAUAGUUUUGUCUGAAGUUGGAUACAGAGUUUAGUAAAAUUGUUAAAGUUAUUAUAAGUAAAAUAAAAGCAUAAUUUGUGGGGAUUGUGUUUGUACAAAAAAUGAAUAAAAAUAUAUUAUUAGUUAAAAAAUGAAAUAAAGUACAAUUUAUAGUAAAAUAUACUCCCUCCGUCCACAAAUUAAUGCCCUACUUGGGUCCUGGCACGGAGACUAAGAAAGCUGAAAAAGGUGAUGUGGAUGAAAUAUAAGGGUAGUUGACUAAAGUGAUAAAGUAGUUGACUAAAGUGAUAAAGUGAUAAAGUGUAGUAAAUAUAGAAUAUAAAAGUGAAAAAGGUGUUUGAAGGUGGGUCCAUUAAUGGCAAAGGGUAGUAAAUAUAGAAAAAGUAAGAGAGUAAAAGGGUACAAAAAGCAAAACAGGGCAUUAAUUUGUGGACAGUUUUUUAAAGCCAAACAGGGCAUUAAAUUGUGGACGGAGGGAGUAUGAGAGAAUGUAUAAUGUGAUGGUUCAAAAGGUAAAAUAUGACUCGUUUUUGGACAAAAACGGGUAAAUAUGACUUUUAUUCGUGGACGGAAGGAGUAAUAUUAAUCAAAGUUCAUUCGUCUUAGUAGGAUUUAUAAUUAUUUUUAUAUUUAAUAUACAAUUUUUAGUUAAUACUCCCUCCGUCCCACGAAUCUUGACACGUUUUCCUUUUUGGGCCGUCCUACGAAUCUUGACACGUUUCCUUUUUGGUAAUAAUUAUUAUCUUCUCUCUCCUACUUUAUCACUUUUAUUACCUUCUCUCUCCUACUUUAUCAAUUUUAUACUUUAUUAAUUACACACUUAAAACACUAAUCUACAACUCCUUAAUUCCCGUACCGAACCCAAACGUGUCAAGACUCGCGGGACGGAGGGAGUAACUACAUAGAAUAAUUAUUUUUCAAUUAGAGAGUAAAUUUUUAAAAACUAUUAAGCAAUAAUUGUUAAAUAGUACUAUGUUUGUCCAUGGAAGAAUUUCAUAGAAGGAGUGACAUGAGUUUUAAGAAAAAAAUUAUUGAAUAUAUUGAGAAUAGAAAAAAGAUCGUUGAGUAUAUUAAAAUUGGUGAAAAUGUGUUCUAAUUAUUAUUAUUGUUUUAAUUAAUGAGUGAGUAUAGUUCAAAAAUAGGUAAAAAAAAUUAUGAACAUCCUAAAAAGCAAAAGAAAGAAAUUCUUUCAUCGACGGAGGAAAGUAUUAAAAAUAAUGAUGAAAUAUGUGAUAUAGAAAAUUUUGGGACAAAUAAUCGAACCUAUAUAUUAUAUACAUUAGUCAAAUUAAAUUGAGUGAACUAAUGUCAAAUUUCAUGGAUGGGAUCAUAUGUCCCAUAAUUUAGUUUGUCCAAUUGUAUGUGUGUGUCUCUCUCUCUUUUAAAUAAGAAUUAUGUCACACUGUGUGCGUGUGUUGGCCAAACGAUAAGGGGUUAAUGCCUAAGGCCAAAGAUCUUGAGUCCGAGUUCCCUGUGGCGCGGCCUUUUAAUUUCUUUAUUUAAUAUUAUAAAUUUAUCAAAAAAAAGAAUCGUGCCACACUCUUAAUUUUAUAAUUUGUUAUAAUUUUAUUUGAAUUUAAUUAAUUAUGUUUUAAUAUAAUAAAAAAUUAAUUAACAAAUACUCACUAGUUAGGGUUUGUAAUUAUUUUUUUUAUAUUUAUUUUAAUUAAUAAUGAAUUAUUUAGGUUAAUUGAUUCAAAGUUAGAGUAUACUCCCUCUGUCCUAAUAGAAUCAUUUUCCUUUUUGGAACAUUGCACUAGAAUAUACAUGUUUUUUAUUUUAAGUAAAAAAUAUAUAUUUAAUUGAUGUGGAUUAGAUACUUUAUUCUUAAAAAAUAAGUUUUUUAAUCUUUGUGCUAAAAGAAAUGAGCCUAUUAAAGUGAGAUGGAGGGUGUAUAAUUUUUAAAACUUUCUUUUUUAGUGAUAAAUACUAAUUAAAAUUAAUUAUAUAAAUAUUUUUUAUUUUAUAAUAAAUAAUUAUAAAAUGAUAUGACACAUACUCAAAGCUCGCACCAACGACCUGCCAAGACUAAAUGUCGAAGCAGAGAUUCUUAAUUUGAUUUGGAAGGUAAAAACACCUCACAAAGCAACCAUGAUAGCGUGGAGAAUGUUGAAAAAUCGACUUCCGACAUGCGAUAACUUGAGGAAAAGGAAGAUUUUGUUGAGCGAUGAUGAGUCCAAAUGCUCUGAAUGUGGGAUGCAGGAAGAAUCGAUCAAUCACCUUUUCCUCCUCUGCCCGAAGACGGAGGAGGUGUGGAACGAAGUGCAGAAGUGGUUGGGAGUUGCAACAGUUCGCCCAAAUCAUUUUGAAAAACAUCUAGGUACGUUCACUACAUUUGAAAAGGAAAAGAAGAUUAGAAACCUUCUCUUGGCUAUUUGGGUAGGGUGUAUUUGGAUUAUGUGGAAAAAAAGAAACGAGAGACGCUUUUGUGGUAAAGAGUGGAACAACAAAAAUUUUGUUUUGGAGAUCAAGAUUAGGCUUUGGUCUUGGAAUUUGAUUUUUGAGAUUGUUGAUGAUGUGUUGGAUUUGGAUGCGUGGUGCUCCAAUGACCUGAUCUGUAAACUUCUUUAAGGCUUCUGCCUUGGUACCCCUGGAACCGAUUUAUUUUAGUUAUACUUUUUCCUAUAAAAAAAAAGUAAUUUGUAAGACAGAUAUAAUCUCGUACGCAAAUUUUAAUACCUAGAAUACGUGGGCUCUUGGUCAUUCUUUCCAUUUUUAUUUUUAUUAGUUACUAGUAUUUGUUUUUAUUCGUGGUGGUUAUCUUUUAUUGAAUGAUAUUCCUUUCUUGCCGGAAAAUAUCUCCUAUUUUGUGUGGUCAAUAUGCAAAAGAAAGAAAAAACAAAGG
rnacentral:lncRNA from 1 species